UUGAAAAGCUAGAAAGGUGGUCCAAUUUGCUUAUGACAUCUCUGAUCAAGUACUUUAUCUUUGAAAUGUUUAAAGUUCCUGUAUUAUAAUUAUAAAAAAGCAUUCUCCCUUCCAUAAAGUGAUUUUAUUCCAUCUUAUUUCUAGUUGGAACUGAAACCUGAAAAGUCCUCCCAUGGGUACUCAGGUGAAGACCCUGGAAAAUAUCUGCCAAAAUCCACAACUGUUGUCACACCCCUCUUUAAUGCAUGAUUGCUAGCUCUUAAUAGUGCUUCCCUCCUUUCAUCAACUGAGGCUUCUGGGAUGUGGGAGAGGACAAGCUUCAUAGCAGAAUCAAUCAACAGACCAGUAGGUUCUGCAGUAAAAGAC